UGUUGUGGAGCUGAAGAUUGUAGGUUGAUGACCCAUGUGGGAGAGGGAAAAUUUACAUAUUAUAAAAGUUGAUGUACAGAUCCUGAUGCAAUAGUUGGAAUGAUCUGAAAUUGCAAAACAUUGUAUUUAGAAGUGAAUUCAGAUGAUGUGCUAAUAUUUGUUUUACCAUUGCAUUAUUAUUUGUAUUUGUAAGAACAGGUGUAGCAGACUGAGUAGUUUUGAGCCUGAACAACGUGGGAGAAGUUGCCUGUGUUCCAAAGGGUGGGAGACGGUGCCUGUACAAGCUCCAAAAGUAAACGAGGGGUAAAGGGAGCAGCUACCCUGGGGCCGGCGAUUUAAAAGGGCUCCUACUGCAGCAGUGGUGUCUGGAGCUCCGGGCCUUUUAAAUCAACAUGGGAGCUCCGGGCAGCAUGGUUCCAGGGCUGGCUGGGGAAUGCUGACCCCCAGCUCCGCCGCUACCGCCUGAGGCCCCGCCCCUUCCAGGGGCAAGAGCCACCCCCCGCCACCGUUGCAGUGUGCCUGAGACUUAUCUUCAGGCCUGCUCAAAACAGAAAAAGGAGGGAAGAAACAAGCUCUUCUGCCUUCAACAACUGCACAAAUCAUCAGGUUUGCAUUAAGACUUGGAGGGGCUUGCAAUGUACGGUUUGUUCUAAAUUGCUGCAAUUCCUUUUUCUAGUAUCUGGUUUCAAUGCAAUGCUUGAAGCAGCUACUA